rnacentral:lncRNA from 1 species
UUUUUUCUUUUCUGGCCAUAGGGUAACAUAAGCGGUUUACAAACAAACAAAAUGGUUAAAGGCUCAAAGGGGUUCGCAACGGAUAAAACGUACAAGGGUGGCUGGAAAGGCUCAAGAUUAAACAACAAAAAUGUGCCUCAGUGUGUGUCAUAAUGCAGUGCUCUGUCAGUAGAACGUACGCAAAACCAGAGCGAUAGAGUCAUACCUGGAUUAACUCUCAUGAUGAUCUCUUAGUAUUUGGCUUUUUUGUAAUCUCACCAUGUGGGUAAACUUGCAGGUUCCAAAGCACUCUCUGUGUAAUGUAGCUUCUUUUUGGUUCAGGUGUACCAUACUUCUAUCUCAAUCCAGUUUUCAUCCCACUGUGUCCAACAAUAGUUUUU